rnacentral:lncRNA from 1 species
GGCCUCUGCGGACGCGACCCACGCAGACCACAGCCGAGCCCGCCGGACCCCGGGACUACGGAAGCCAUCCCGUCCGGCCACCCACACCCGCGCCGCGGCUGGGGCUUGGGUUGGGGACUGUGGCGGCGAAGAAGCCGGGGCAUACAACUUAGGAUUCAUAACUACAUAUAUACGGAUAGAAGUGCAUGAACAGAAAAUCUGCCCUUCUGGAAUACCAAAUGCAAAAUUAAAGUGACUACAAGCAGAAUUUGGAGAAAAAAAUAAAAGAUGCAAUAUAGUUUUUAAAAUCAUUGUUAAAAUAUAAUGAGUCUGUACUUUGCUUAAACAAUAAAAAAGUCUU